GCCUGGUUUGCAUAGUCUGCACGUUUAAUCACUUUAAAACCUCUAACAUUAUCUCAUGUCCAUUAAAUAGAACCAGCAAUGCUGGGCCUGUUUAAAUUACAAGAAAAAAAUCACUGUGCACCAACCCAGCAUCUUACAAAACCAGCCGGGCUGGCCACGAGGGCAGGGGGAUGGGAGAGGAGGGGGCACCCCUGGGCAGAUGGCUGGGUACCAGGAAUGGCUAGGGUAGAAAAGAAAAGGGGACUCCCAGAUGGGAGGGGACUGAUUGUCCUAAUGGGAGGGGUGCAAAAGGCACGUCAGAAGAGGAGGUUUGAGGGGGGCAUGACAGGUCAGUGCUUUCUCCACCAGGGCACAGACUUGGGGCUCAACUAUUCCUCACUCCUCAGCAACAUGCUGCAGCCCCCACACCUCAGGGCCAGGGCAGCCAGGGAGGAGCAGGGCGGACGGUGGGUGUGAGAACGUGGGUAGUCCAGCUGCUACCCCCAUUAAAAAUACAAAAACAAAUCAUCAGCAUCUAAAGUGAAAUAAUCACAAAGUGAAAAUAUAUCCUCAAACAGCCCCUGAGAUCCCCACAGGGGAAAGCAGCAUCGGGUGGGAGGCCAGAGAGGCCGGCUGGGCCAGCGCCCCUCCCCACCACCCACCCAGGGGCUCCAGGUCUGUGAGUGCCAACAGCCCAGGCAGCCCGGGCUCAGAAAACAGGGACUUGGGCCCUGACGGGAGAGGCGGGUGCAAGAGAGGGGAGGGUGGUCAGGACACCAGCACAGGGUUCAGCCAGAGCUUCGGCCUUGGCUGCGCCAGCCUGGUGGCCAGUGGUGGUGGAGGCACGGAGCACAGGGGUGGGUCAUGGGACACAGGCCACAGGCCACAUGCCACGUGCACACCUGGAGGCACCUGCCUUGCCUUGGUCCCUUCCUAUGAUGGCUGCUGCCGCCAAGACUCACCAGAGCUGGGGGACAGGGUGGAGGGUGCAGAAGCCCUUGGAGAGGUGGCCUCCUCCCUCAGAUAUCUCCUAGGCCAGCCCCCGACUGCCUGGAUGGGACCAUUAUUGCUUUAGAGGGACAGGGAAGGGCAAGAGCUGCGGCCUGGGUCAGGAAUCCCAACAAGCAAGGGCUGCCCCUCUUCACUCCGCAGGAACUCUGGCUGGGGCCGGGGCCGGGGCAAGCUGCCCUAAAGGUUUCACUCCUUUCUCCACAUGGAAGGGGUGCUGAGGGUGGGGUACGGCCCUCCCCACGCCCCAGCUGGUCCUGGGCCCACCUCAGGUGGCCAGGUGGGCCCGAGGGUAGGAUGGGAAGCAGUCUCCACCCCUCUUGCCUCCCAGCUGGGGUCCAAACCCAGUCCCAAGAUAAAAAAAUACUUUGGUGAAUUAAAAAGUGCCCAAGGAGGGGAUUGGCUUGAGGGGGUGGGCAGUGGGCUCAUCAGAGGGCGCUCUGGUCUUUGAUAAAGGCGGUCCUCUCGCCCCGGCCCUCGUCCUCUUCUGAGUCAGACGGGCACUCCUCCUGCCAGGCUUCAGGGGGCAGCCCCUUGUAGGAGAUGAGGCCACGGUCCAUGGUGUACACCUUCACCCCCCGAAAACUAAAGCCAGAGCGCAGCUGCAGGACCAGGAAGACAGUGACGAAGACCAGCACGAUGAAGGCGCAGCUGAGGCCGGCCACCACCUCAGGCAGGUGUGAGGGCAGCAGCCCUGCCCGCAGCCGUUGCCCCGCCUCCACCUCCGGGGGCAGCCGAGGUGGCUGCUGCUGUGGCGGGGACUCUCGGCUGCUCUGGCUUUGCCGGGAGCAAGUCUGCUCCACAGGGUCCAAGGAGGCGUGGCUGGGGCAGCUGAGGCAGUCUGUCAGGGCCGGCCCCUGGCAUGUGGCACAUGAGGCGUGGCAGGGGGCGCAGACGCUGGCCCGGAUGGUCUCCACGUCAUUCUCGGUGCUAUAGUGCGUAUCGAGGACUUGGGGGGCGAACCCUGGAGGGCAGUGCUGGACACAGCUCUUCUGGUGCAGGGAGAAGCCUUCCUCGCACACUGC
rnacentral:lncRNA from 1 species